UCUUCUUAUAAAACAUAUGUUAAGUAAAAGAAAAAAUGUAAAUGAUAGGAACUGGAUAAAAGUAACCACCAUUUACAUGUUAGCAUGUAUUUUGAGUACAUUUACAGACUUUAUAUGGAUGAAAUGAAAAUACAUAGAUUUAUAAAAAAGGAAGAUGCACUUUCUCCUUUCAAUAAAUUGUAUCUUUGUACGGCUAGCCUCAUCUUCAGUGUGUUUCUUUCUCUAAAUCCUUUAAAAACAGCUGCAGAGAAGCAGCCAAAAUUUCAGUAAUGAGAGGGUCAUGACUGAAUUAUUUCCAGCCCUGAAGUUUGACAGUAAAGGGAAAAUUCAUGUCAAUUUUGUAAGUUUAAAUUAAAGGAUUAAAAACACUGUGUGUUGCAGAACAAGAGAAGGAAGCAGGGAUGUACCAAAAACUUAAAACAAGAUACCUUUCUACAUUUGGAAAAACCACAAGUACGGAGGAUGUACCAAGAAAUUACAUAGAGCGGGGACUUCAUUCCAUAAAGAACAAUGAUAGUGCAUUAAUCACUACGGCAACCAUUCCAACACGGACAAUGGACCACACUGUCCCUUAGAGAUACAGACUUCAAUCACGCAGGAAGAGGUUUUCCAAAGUGUACAUUCAUUGCCAUUCCCCACUCCCUCACGUGCCAUGCACACAAAGUGCUGGUAUUUCUCACUGUGGGUAGUGACAACGACCCUUCUCUACCCUGCCUUAAGCCUCCCCCCACCUUGCCUACCGCUGACAUCGUAAUCGCUGUCCUGGGCCUCUGCUAGUGGUUGAAGAGGUCCACCGCCCUCAGGAGUGCUGGCACUUGGACAGACAAGGGGAUUUUCUCUACCCUAAAAAGUGAUGAUGACCCGCCUGACCUUCAGAAGUCACAGAUUCACAGGGGAGGCAUAUACUGAAAAUGUAAUUACAACGCAUUGUGUCCAGGGGUUCCACUGGAUACGUGCUAGGGAACCAUAGAAGACGUACUCCUCAUCCUGCCUCGAUGACAACAAAAGAGUUCCCAGAGAAGUUAUUACUUCAACACAGUCUCCAAUAAAGUGGAAAUUCUCCAGACAGACCGGGGGAUGGGAAAAGUGUCAUAGGAUCAUAAUUUACCAUUCUUUUUCCUUCUGUACGAUACGCAAUGACAGUGGAAAGGGCAGAUGUCAUCAGAGAAUACCUUCCAGAUACAACUCUUUCAUGAUCCUGGGAUUGGUUUUCAUAUGGAGUGGAAUGGGGAGUCCCAUCUCAGAAGAGAAUCGAAACAGUUAUCAUCCUGCCAGAUAUUACAAGAUCUCUGCCUGGAUUUUAUAUACUACUCCCUAGAGAGACAUUAUGGAAAAACCAAGAAAACCACCUACUUGAAAUUUAACAC